CCGAUGUCCUUCUGUCACAGGGACUUGUGUCGGGGCAGGAGUGCUUGUGCCCUCAACCCCUCUGCUUGCAGCUGAAUGAGCCUCCGACAUGGACGCUGGCAGUGCAGCCAAGCUGCUCACAGCUCUUCGUAGGUGCAGGAUUAGGUACCGGCUCGCUGAACGUGGGUCUUGAAACAGAACUAGAAACUUCAGUAGAAUUGCCAAACCUCUGUCCGAAGCCAAUGCUACAAGGUGUUCUCUUCCCUUGCAAGACAGAGCUGCUGCGUGGUCACCGAGAUGAAGGAACAAUUGUUUUCAGUGAACUUCUGCAUCUGUUCUGAAUAAAUCGGAGAUAUGAUUUCACUUCAUUCGGUAUGGGUGGAAAAUUUCAUACCACGGAAAAUUUACAAAGGUAUUGCAGGGAAAAUGCUAAGCAUGUGCUUAAGUAUCAUUGAUGUUGAUCAAGUUAAGUGGACGCUUAAGCCUUAGGAGCUACUACCUCUUCCCAAGCAUUGAUCUUAGUGCAGGGUUCUGAAAGAAGAGGGACUUGAGCUCCAGUCACAAGGCCGUAAAGGUAGAAGUGCACCUUGAGAUGAGGAGUAAUCAGCAAAAGUUGAUGCAGCCAUUACCAUAAAAAUUGUCGUGGUCAUGCCUUUUCAUUUUCCAGAGACAAGAUCCUUUCAGCAUUAUCCCCAGAUUCUUUCCAUUUUCAAAAGUUUUUUUCUCCCCUUGUGAUUUGUUUUCCCUUAUUUUCCUUUUCGUACAGUCACAUUUUCAUAGUUUUAACAAGGUUCUGAAGUUAACACUACUCUGAGGCGGUGAUAUCUAGGCCAAAGAGGUUCACGCCUCUUUGAUGUGAGUGAGUUCUUGUGAUUUUUGGGGAGGGAGUUCUCGUGAUGAGGACAUGGAGGAGCAGGGAAUGAAGGCUCAUAGAUCCAGAUUCGAUCUCUAUGGCUUUUCCUCCUGUGAGCCUGUGGCAAAUGAGAGAAUAAUGCAGAUUCCAUAUAACCAUCUUUAAAAAAGAUCUUCCUUGGGGACAGUGCGGAUUAAUUAACAUAUCAGAGGUGCUUUGCGUUCCUUUGAUAGGUGUUGCAGAAAUGCAAAAUGCAAAGAUUUUUUUUCUUACUAGACAUAGGCUUUGUGAAGGAUGGAUGUUAAUGAAGUUGGUUUACCUCCUUAGAGCUUUUUCCAAUGGAAGACUAUUUAACUUCUUAUGUAUGCACCAAUACAGUGCUUUACCAUCAAUUUAAACCAAAUAAAAUAUGCAGCCUCUGGACCA
rnacentral:lncRNA from 1 species